CAGGGAUUGCCCUAGUAACGGCGAGUGAAGCGGCAACAGCUCAAAUUUGAAAUCUGGCACUUGUGUCCGAGUUGUAAUUUGUAGAGGAUGAUUUUGGUGCGGUAUCUUCCGAGUUCCUUGGAACAGGACGCCUUAGAGGGUGAGAGCCCCGUACGGUUGAAUGCCUAGCCUCUGUAAAUCUCCUUCGACGAGUCGAGUAGUUUGGGAAUGCUGCUCUAAAUGGGAGGUAAAUUUCUUCUAAAGCUAAAUACUGGCCAGAGACCGAUAGCGCACAAGUAGAGUGAUCGAAAGAUGAAAAGCACUUUGAAAAGAGGGUUAAAUAGCACGUGAAAUUGUUGAAAGGGAAGGAUUUAUGACCAGACUUUUUCUGGGCGGAUCAUCCGGUGUUCUCACCGGUGCACUUUGCCCAGUUUAGGCCAGCAUCGACUUUCGGAGAGGGAUAAAAGCUUUAGGAAUGUGGCUCCCUCGGGAGUGUUAUAGCCUAUUGUAUAAUACCUUUCUGGGGGUCGAGGUACGCGCUUCUGCAAGGAUGCUGGCGUAAUGGUUAUCAAUCACCCGUCUUGAAACACGGACCAAGGAGUCGAACAUUUGUGCAAGUGUUUGGGUGUUAAACCCUCACGCGUAAUGAAAGUGAACGGAGGUGAGAGCCCUUACGGGUGCAUCAUCGACCGAUCCUGAAGUUUUCGGAUGGAUUUGAGUAAGAGCAUAACUGUUCGGACCCGAAAGAUGGUGAACUAUGCGUGGAUAGGGUGAAGCCAGAGGAAACUCUGGUGGAGGCUCGCAGCGGUUCUGACGUGCAAAUCGAUCGUCAAAUCUGCGCAUGGGGGCGAAAGA
rnacentral:rRNA from 1 species